rnacentral:rRNA from 1 species
AUUGAACGCUGGCGGCAGGCCUAACCCAUGCAAGUCGAACGAGUGGCGGACGGGUGAGUAAUGUCUGGGAAACUGACUGAUGGAGGGGGUUAACUACUGGAAACGGUAGCUAAUACCGCAUACCAUCGGAUGUGCCCAGAUUGGAUUAGCUAGUCGGUGGGGUAAAGGCUCACCUAGGCGACGAUCACUAGCUGGUCUGAGAGGAUGACAGGCCACACAGGAACUAAGACACGGUCCAGACGCCUACGGGAGGCAGCGGUGGGAAAGAUUGCACAAUGGGCGCAAGCCUGAUGCAGCCAUGCCGCGUGUAUGAAGAAGGCCUUCGGAUUGUAAAGUACUUUCAGCGGGGAGGGGUUACCCGCAGAAGAAGCUCUGGCUAACUCCGUGCCAGCAGCCGUGGUAAUAC